rnacentral:sRNA from 1 species
UCCUCGAUGAUUCCUCGUGGCCAGGUGU